rnacentral:rRNA from 1 species
GACGAACGCUGGCGGCGUGCUUAACACAUGCAAGUCGAACGGAAAGGCCCUGCUUUUGUGGGGUGCUCGAGUGGCGAACGGGUGAGUAACACGUGAGUAACCUGCCCUUGACUUUGGGAUAACUUCAGGAAACUGGGGCUAAUACCGGAUAGGAGCUCCUGCUGCAUGGUGGGGGUUGGAAAGUUUCGGCGGUUGGGGAUGGACUCGCGGCUUAUCAGCUUGUUGGUGGGGUAGUGGCUUACCAAGGCUUUGACGGGUAGCCGGCCUGGGAGGGGGACCGGCCACAUUGGGACUGAGAUACGGCCCAGACUCCUACGGGAGGCAGCAGUGGAGAAUAUUGCACAAUGGGCGGAAGCCUGAUGCAGCAACGCCGCGUGCGGGAUGACGGCCUUCGGGUUGUAAACCGCUUUCGCCUGUGACGAAGCGUGAGUGACGGUAAUGGGUAAAGAAGCACCGGCUAACUACGUG